GUGCCAUUUUCUGCUUUAUUUUACAGAUAGGACAAAGAGGCUUAGGAAUUCCGAACCAGCACGGGGUCCCAGACUGGAAGUGGUAACUGUUGGAGAAUGUGUGGCACUCUGCUGAAUAAAACAGUAACUCUCUUGUGACUCCUGCCCAUGUGAGGUGAAAUCCUUCCCAACGCCCAAAGAAAGCCCAGUUUCUGGGAUCUUCCUCAAGAGCCAUGGGAUCUUCUGGUCUUUGCUGGGAAUCUGGGAGGCAGACACAACAGCUGGACAACCUUCAGGAUGCUUAGAAUUCUGUCCCUUAUGGCUUGCCAAAGGGCAAAACUAAGGUUCUCUAUUUCAUUAUUGGAUGGUCUUUCUUCAGGCAGUGAUGACUACAUAUUUAU
rnacentral:lncRNA from 1 species